rnacentral:rRNA from 1 species
GACGAACGCUGGCGGCGUGCCUAAUACAUGCAAGUUGAGCGCUGAAGGUUGGUACUUGUACCGACUGGAUGAGCAGCGAACGGGUGAGUAACGCGUGGGGAAUCUGCCUUUGAGCGGGGGACAACAUUUGGAAACGAAUGCUAAUACCGCAUAAAAACUUUAAACACAAGUUUUAAGUUUGAAAGAUGCAAUUGCAUCACUCAAAGAUGAUCCCGCGUUGUAUUAGCUAGUUGGUGAGGUAAAGGCUCACCAAGGCGAUGAUACAUAGCCGACCUGAGAGGGUGAGCGGCCACAUUGGGACUGAGACACGGCCCAAACUCCUACGGGAGGCAGCAGUAGGGAAUCUUCGGCAAUGGACGAAAGUCUGACCGAGCAACGCCGCGUGAGUGAAGAAGGUUUUCGGAUCGUAAAACUCUGUUGGUAGAGAAGAACGUUGGUGAGAGUGGAAAGCUCAUCAAGUGACGGUAACUACCCAGAAAGGGACGGCUAACUACGUG